rnacentral:rRNA from 1 species
AUUAAACGCUAGCGAUAUGCCUUACACAUGCAAGUCGAACGGUAACAUAGAUUUAAAUUUAUUUAAAUUUGAUGACGAGUGGCGUACGGGUGAGUAAUAUAUUGGAAUGUACCUUGAAGUGGGGGAUAACUAGUUGAAAAAUUAGCUAAAACCGCAUAAAAAUCUUUUAGAUUAAAAUAAGGGAUAUUACCUUAUGCUUUAAGAGCAGCUAAUAUCUGAUUAGCUAGUUGGUAUGGUAAAAGCUUACCAAGGUUAUGAUCAGUAGCUGGUUUGAGAGAAUGAUCAGCCACACUGGAACUGAGACACGGUCCAGACUCCUACGGGAGGCAGCAGUGGGGAAUUUUGGACAAUGGGGGCAACCCUGAUCCAGCAAUAUCGCGUGAGUGAUGAAGGCCAUAAAGGUUGUAAAGCUCUUUAGUUAAGGAUGAAAAAAUUUUAGUUAAAAAUUAAAAUAUAUACGACAGUACUUAAAGAAUAAGCACCGGCUAACUACGUGCCAGCAGCCGCGGUAAUACGUAGGGUGCAAGCGUUAAUCGGAAUUAUUGGGCGUAAAGUGUGCGCAGGUGGUUAUAUAAGAUAUGGAUAAAAUACUUAAGCUUAACUUCGGAAAUAUACUUAUAACUGUAUAACUAGAGUUUAUUAGAGAAGAAUAGAAUUUUGCAUGUAACAGUGAAAUGUGUUGAUAUGCUUAAGAAUACCAACGGCGAAGGCAAUUCUUUGGAAUAAACUGACACUAAUAGCACGAAAGUGUGGGGAGCAAUCAGGAUUAGAUACCCUGGUAGUCCACACCCUAAACGAUGUCUACUAAUUGUUAAAAUAUAUUUAUAAUAUUUUUUAAUAGUAUAGCUAACGCGUAAAGUAGACCGCCUGGGAAUUACGAUCGCAAGAUUAAAACUCAAAGGAAUUGACGGGGACCUGCACAAGCGGUGGAUGAUGUGGAUUAAUUCGAUGCUACACGAAAAACCUUACCUACCCUUGCAUGUUUAGAACUUUAAAGAAAUUUAAAGGUGCUUAUAAGAUAAGAACUAAAAUACAGGUGCUGCAUGGCUGUCGUCAGCUCGUGUCGUGAGAUGUUAGGUUAAGUCCUACAACGAGCGCAACCCCUGUUACUAGUUGCAAAUAAUAAUCUUAAUAUAUUAUUUUUGAUCUCUAGCGAAACUGCCAAUGUUAAAUUGGAGGAAGGUAGGGAUGACGUCAAGUCCUCAUGGUCUUUAUGGGUAGGGCUUCACACGUCAUACAGUGGUAUAUACAAUAAGAAGCGAAGCUGCAAAGUUUAGCAAAUCAUUUAAAGUAUACCGAGGUUCGAAUUGCAGUCUGUAACUCGACUGCAUGAAGUAGGAAUCGCUAGUAAUCGCAUAUCAGCAUGGUGCGGUGAAUAUGUUCUCAGGUCUUGUACACACCGCCCGUCACACCAUGGAAAUAGGUUUAGCUUAAAAGUGGUUAUGUUAACCAUAGGAAGUAGCCAUUAGAGCUGCACUUGUAACUAGGGUG